CGCUGGCGGCGUGCCUAACACAUGCAAGUCGAACGAAGCAUUUAAGUGAAUCCCUUCGGGGUGAAGCUUUUAUGACUUAGUGGCGGACGGGUGAGUAACGCGUGAGUAACCUGCCUUUCAGAGGGGGAUAACAGUUGGAAACGACUGCUGAUACCGCAUAAUGUUUCGGAAGGGCAUCCUUCUGAAACCAAAGCUUUAUGUGCUGAGAGAUGGUCUCGCGUCUGAUUAGCUAGAUGGCGGGGUAACGGCCCACCAUGGCGACGAUCAGUAGCCGGUCUGAGAGGAUGAACGGCCACAUUGGGACUGAGAUACGGCCCAGACUCCUACGGGAGGCAGCAGUGGGGAAUAUUGGGCAAUGGGCGAAAGCCUGACCCAGCAACGCCGCGUGAAGGAAGAAGGUCUUCGGAUUGUAAACUUCUUUUAUGAGGGACGAAGAAAGUGACGGUACCUCAUGAAUAAGCCACGGCUAACUACGUG
rnacentral:rRNA from 1 species